UACGGAGGGGGCGAGCGUUAUUCGGAAUUAUUGGGCGUAAAGGGCGCGUAGGCGGCCCGCUAAGUCAAAGGUGAAAUCCCUCGGCUCAACUGAGGAACUGCCUUUGAAACUGUCGGGCUUGAGGCCGGGAGGGGGUAGCGGAAUUCCCAGUGUAGCGGUGAAAUGCGUAGAUAUUGGGAGGAACACCAGUGGCGAAGGCGGCUACCUGGACCGGUUCUGACGCUGAUGCGCGAAAGCGUGGGUAGCAAACAGG
rnacentral:rRNA from 1 species